rnacentral:lncRNA from 1 species
AUGACAAAACAACCUCUCUUCACGUCGAAGACGUCUGACCCACGACAGAAACAAUGGACCCACGAGAGAAACAAUGGACCAGAUAGCGGAUAUUGCCUAGAUUGUCAAUUGCUCUGGUCUAGUUACAUUGGGGCCAUGUUUCGACCUCAUCUCGACAAACCUCCUAUGCUCUCAUCAUACCACAUUGCUCCAUUGCUCGAGUGCUUAAGGUUGUACAGCUUCUAG